UAUCCUUAACGUAAUAUUUGCCCCCAUUAUUAUUGCUGUAAGAUUGAUGGCAAAUCACUUCCAAGAUACAACAAAGCUCCAGAAAUCUACAGAUAGCAACUUCUCAAAGUUUCUCUUUAGAACUUCUCCAUAUUAUGUAUUUAUGUGAUUUGGCGAAAGAUAGAAUGAGGAAAAAAAUAGAAACUUAAUUUGUAUUUGAUCAUCUAUAGAUGGCAUUAUAUAU
rnacentral:lncRNA from 1 species